rnacentral:rRNA from 1 species
UACGUAGGGUGCAAGCGUUAUCCGGAAUUAUUGGGCGUAAAGAGCUCGUAGGCGGCCUGUCGCGUCGGAUGUGAAAGCCCGGGGCUUAACUCCGGGUCUGCAUUCGAUACGGGCAGGCUAGAGUUCGGUAGGGGAGAUCGGAAUUCCUGGUGUAGCGGUGAAAUGCGCAGAUAUCAGGAGGAACACCGGUGGCGAAGGCGGAUCUCUGGGCCGAUACUGACGCUGAGGAGCGAAAGCGUGGGGAGCGAACAGG